rnacentral:piRNA from 1 species
UGCGUUAAACGUUCUAUCAAA